rnacentral:misc_RNA from 1 species
UUGUUAGUAGAAAUUGAAACUUUUAAUGUGUGUGCGUAGUCUCAUUCUCCAUUACUCUUUCUUUCUCAUUUCUUGUCUCCUAAUAGUCAAUAAUUGUGCAAAAUUUCAUUUUAUUGGUAAAAUUCAUAAUUUUGUUUUUGUUAUUGUAAGCAAAAGUAAAAUAAAAUUUAUUUAUAAAAGAAAUCUGCUGAAAAAGGGAAUAAAACUAACAGAAAAUUGGUAACUAAUCAAGAUGCCUUUUUAAGGAUAUAAUAGCAAUCUUAUUCUUACCUAAUACCUGCUUGAUUCGAAGGAUACAUUAACACGAUAACUGUAAAUUCUUGGUAAUCUUUUAUGAUUAAUCAAACUCAAUAACGACUCAUUCUUGGAAUCAUAUACCUUGACAUCACAUUCCUUGUAAAGCUAUUCUAAAAGGUAAGUUUAAAUCCGUGAACUAAAUGCUACCCAUGUAUUUAGAAAUAUGCUUUGUCAACACACUUGCUAUUUUGGUAGAACAUAAUGUGUAUAAUGAACUGAUUGUUUUAUUGAUUUUUCUAUUGCAUGAUUCUGUUAGGAGCAGAAUUCCUAACAGCUCUGUUACAUAAGAAUUAGAGAAGAAUAGAAGAGA